UACGUAGGGUGCAAGCGUUGUCCGGAAUUAUUGGGCGUAAAGAGCUCGUAGGCGGUUUGUUGCGUCGGCUUUGAAAACCUGAGGCUCAACCUCAGGCCUGCAGUCGAUACGAGCAGACUAGAGUGUUGCAGGGGAGACUGGAAUUCCUGGUGUAGCGGUGAAAUGCGCAGAUAUCAGGAGGAACACCGGUGGCGAAGGCGGGUCUCUGGGCAACAACUGACGCUGAGGAGCGAAAGCGUGGGGAGCGAACAGG
rnacentral:rRNA from 1 species